rnacentral:rRNA from 1 species
AUGAACGCUAGCGGCAGGCUUAACACAUGCAAGUCGAGGGGUAUAGUAGCAAUACUAGAGACCGGCGCACGGGUGCGUAACGCGUAUGCAAUCUACCUUUUGCAGGGGAAUAGCCCAGAGAAAUUUGGAUUAAUGCCCCAUAGUAUAGUGACUCGGCAUCGAGAUACUAUUAAAGUUACAACGGCAAAAGAUGAGCAUGCGUCCCAUUAGCUAGUUGGUAAGGUAACGGCUUACCAAGGCGACGAUGGGUAGGGGUCCUGAGAGGGAGAUCCCCCACACUGGUACUGAGACACGGACCAGACUCCUACGGGAGGCAGCAGUGAGGAAUAUUGGACAAUGGGCGCAAGCCUGAUCCAGCCAUGCCGCGUGCAGGAUGAAGCAUCUAUGGUGUGUAAACUGCUUUUGUACGAGAAGAAACACUGCUUCGUGAAGCAGCUUGACGGUAUCGUAAGAAUAAGGAUCGGCUAACUCCGUG